rnacentral:rRNA from 1 species
UACGUAGGUGGCGAGCGUUGUCCGGAUUUACUGGGCGUAAAGGGCGUGCAGGCGGUUUGUUAAGUGCAGGGUGAAAGCUCCCGGCUCAACUGGGAGAGGUCCUUGCAUACUGGCGAACUCGAGGGAGGCAGAGGAAAGUGGGAUUCCCGGUGUAGUGGUGAUAUGCGUAGAUAUCGGGAGGAACACCUGUGGCGAAGGCGGCUUUCUGGGCCUUACCUGACGCUGAGACGCGAAAGCGUGGGGAGCGAACCGG